rnacentral:rRNA from 1 species
GACGAGCGCUGGCGGCGUGCUUAACACAUGCAAGUCGAACGGAAAGGCCCUGCUUGCCGGGUACUCGAGUGGCGAACGGGUGAGUAACACGUGGGUGAUCUGCCCUGCACUUCGGGAUAAGCCUGGGAAACUGGGUCUAAUACCGGAUAGGAGCCAUUUUUAGUGUGUUGGUUGGAAAGUUUUUUCGGUGUAGGAUGAGCUCGCGGCCUAUCAGCUUGUUGGUGGGGUAAUGGCCUACCAAGGCGGCGACGGGUAGCCGGCCUGAGAGGGUGGACGGCCACAUUGGGACUGAGAUACGGCCCAGACGCCGACGGGAGGAAGCAGUGGGGAAGAUUGCACAAUGGGCGCAAGCCUGAUGCAGCGACGCCGCGUGGGGGAUGACGGCCUUCGGGUUGUAAACUCCUUUCGCUAGGGACGAAGCUUUUUGUGACGGUACCUAGAUAAGAAGCACCGGCUAACUACGUG